UUUUCUGUGCUGGUGUUGUGUACUCAGGUGAAUAUGAUAUGUUUGUGAUGUUAACAUCAUAUUCACCUGAGUACACAACACCAGCACAGAAAA
rnacentral:miRNA from 1 species